rnacentral:tRNA from 1 species
CGAGGCGUGGCUUAGUUUGGUAGAGCGCUGCGUUCGGGACGCAGAGGUCGUGGGUUCAAAUCCCGUCGCCUCGA